UCCACCACCACGGCCGCCAACAUCAUCUGCAACAAUGAGUCUAGCAUGUUUUCCAGCUUUUGUUAUUUCAGUCAAGAGCUUAUUUGGAUCAAUUGCCCCAGAAAUUCGAAUGAUACAUCUUCAAAUCCAAUUCCAAUAAUGAUUAAGUGUAAGUAAAGAUUAAUCACUAGAUUUGUAGAGACUAAUUAUAGAAAAUAAAAUGUAAUAUCAAUUACAAAAAAUAACAAAAUUUUAUUGUUUUUUCUCUUCAACAUUUGCACAGAUCAAUGCUUGAUUUUUUCCGGCACAAGUACACAUCUAAUAUUCCUUGAAAAAAAGUGUACAUCUAAUAUAACUUUUUUUUUUAAAAAAGAUCUAAUAAUAUUUUUAACAUAUGUUUUACAUUCCCACUAACCGACAUCUAUUUAGGGUUUGUUAAGAUAAAAAUUAAUGUAUUUUUAAUAUAAAUUGAUUUAGAGAUUAUUUUACCCAAACUUUUAAGAAAACGGAAGUCAUUAUUGUAUUUCUCCAUCUUCUAUUAAAAAUUAUUUUUUCUCAAAAAAAUCAAAAUAACAUUUUAUUUUCAACAUACUUUUUUAACAAAAUGAUUUUUCAAAAAGGUUUUGAAAAUAUUAUUUAAAACAUAAAAAAUAGUUUCUAAAAAAAAAGGGGGGUUUAUUAUCUCCAAACAAUCAUAAACAAAUGCACUCUUAAGGAGUCAAACUUUCCAACAUGUUUUUUAAGAAAUAUACCAAUCAAGGAUCAAACUGGUGACACAAUUACAUACUAUAUAGAUUGGUCACUAAUGAAUGUGUAAAUUGUUACCUUUGAUACUCUUAAUCACUUCUAUAAUGGACUUCUUCCAACCAGCAAAUUGAGUAUUCACUCUCAGACCACAGAUCUACGGAAAAAAAAAC
rnacentral:lncRNA from 1 species